rnacentral:rRNA from 1 species
GACGAACGCUGGCGGCGUGCUUAACACAUGCAAGUCGAACGGAAAGGCCCCCACUUUUUGGUGGGGGUGCUCGAGUGGCGAACGGGUGAGUAACACGUGGGUGAUCUGCCCUGUACUUCGGGAUAAGCUUGGGAAACUGGGUCUAAUACCGGAUAGGACCAUGGUUUAGUGUCUCAUGGUGGAAAAAUUAUUGUUUUGGUGCAGGAUGAGCUCGCGGCCUAUCAGCUUGUUGGUGGGGUAAUGGCCUACCAAGGCGUCGACGGGUAGCCGGCCUGAGAGGGUGGACGGCCACAUUGGGACUGAGAUACGGCCCAGACUCCUACGGGAGGCAGCAGUGGGGAAUAUUGCACAAUGGGCGCAAGCCUGAUGCAGCGACGCCGCGUGGGGGAUGACGGCCUUCGGGUUGUAAACUCCUUUCGUUAGGGACGAAGCCGCACCUUUUUUGGGUGUGGUGACGGUACCUUUGUUAAGAAGCACCGGCUAACUACGUG